UAAUAAAUUCCUGCACUUGACUUCGGUAUAUUGUUUUGGUUCUCUCUACCGCGUCGGCCGCCGGUUGUUUCUCUUCUUCCUCGGACUCGCUUGCUCUCCACGGAGAUUAGAAACCCUAAACCCCUUCGACUACUCGAUCUCCCUUUUGCGAUCUAUCUCACGCCUGUCCUCGGCGUACGUCCUUCUCCAUGCUUGAUCCAAGAGCGGUUUAGGUGGUUCCGCCGAAAGCUAAGAUGAAGCAAGCCUCGUACACUUAGCCACAUGAACUUGGGGAAGUAGAGAUGGAUGACUCUUCGACUGAGUUGCCCGUAGGCAGCUUCGAAAUUGGAAGAUUGUUGCUUGUAAUACAUUACUUCGUACGAAACGAAAUGAACUUACAGUGCUAUAGAGGAGAAAACUCGGAGAAUACGUUGGAGACGACUUUGAUCUGUUGGAGACGACUCUGAUCUGCGAAGCUUACUAUCGCCGAGAAGAUCACUGCUCUGGAACCUUCUUAGAACUGUCACAAACCAAAUCCCUCUACUGGAUGUUCUCUGUACUUUGAUCACCUUCGAUUUUACCCUCUUCCUAAUUGCUCUUGGACGCAUAGUUAUAUAGGAAGAAAGCGUCAGUUUGUAACCAAUGCUUUGAUGACCUUUAUUGCAAUAAACGAUGAGGGAUUAAAUGGAGGGAGGUGAACGGAUCACUGAUAAUCACCAUAUUACAUGUCA